GGAAAUAAUAAUUUAAUAAUGUGUUGAAUGUUGUGCUUCAGUGCAGCAGAAGUUUCUCAUACCAGAAGAUAAAGUGCUAAAAGUCGCAGAUGAGCAGGGCAUAGAGGAGGAUGACGAUGUCUUUCCAGAACUUGCAACAGAAGCAAUGUGUUUUGUUGUCUCCACUGAUGAUGAGUGGGACAGCGACAUGGCUUCUCUUCUUGUCUUGCUGCAUCUUCUCACUCCACAACCAGCUGGAAGGAAGAGGCCAAGAAGAUCAGUGUCAUAGAGGCAACAGAUCAUCUGGUGGAAUUCAAAAGUCCUGCCAGAGCCUGGAGGAUCACCUCAUGACCACUGAAGGAAACCCUCAGCACUAUCUUCUGGCCUCAGGGACUUCUAAAGCACAGGUUUCCAGCUUCUACAUAGUCUUGGAUAGAAAGCUUCUUCCAUGUCAGUCAUGUACAUCCUUGGGUGCAUUUGAUGAGUUGUUCAAGUCCCACUUUGUUUUCAGUGUGAAAUAAGAUGAUGCUCUGUCCAGUCUGUACACAGUUUAUGCAAACUACUCUGCACAACAUUGAUAUAGGUACAACAGAAGAAACUCCAAGAGUCAAAGAGCUAAGAGCAAAGCUGUGGAACAAGCAGUAAUUAGCUUAUCCAGCAAAAAUGCUCAGAUGUUUCCUUUGUGCUUCAUCCUUUGGUACAGCGUUACUUUUGUUCAGGCACCUCAAACAAAUUCAUGGGAUGUACCCUGGGAAAAAAUUGAGACUAAAAUGUGGUCAAGUAGGAUGUUGCUUGCAAUUUUCAAGUUAUUCUGGAUUUAGAAGACACUUUAGAUUAAGGGACAUGCUUCUAGUGAUAACACCUGUGUGCCUCCUGAGACCCCCUCUAGCCAUGACAGCCAACAGCACAAUAAUUCUCAGUGCUUAAAUGAUGAAACAUCCUCUACUUCAUCCCAAAUCACUGACAACUCACAGCAAAGAUAUGAGUGCCUGAUGUGUGAUUCACAUUUGUAUGUCAGAGGGUUGUAUUAUUUAAUGUAUUAACCUUAGCUAUAUGGAAUUCACCCUUGUUUUUUAUGUACAUGUUUAUGUACUUAAAUUACAGGUUUAAAGUCUACCUCAUGUUAAUACAUUCCAUUACAGAAAAGUUCUUUGUUAUCUUGUCAGACAUUUGUGCAAUGCUUUUUUGCUAUGCACUUCCUGCACAUUUCUCUUAUGCACUACAGAAAGAUGUGGUACUGACAUGAUUUUUGAAAUAACUGCCUGUUCCAACUGUUUAGCUGCUGUUAAAGCAGUUUGUUUUAAAUGUGAAUAUGUCUGGUUGGUUUGCUGUAAAAUGUUUACAG